rnacentral:lncRNA from 1 species
UUUUUUUUUUUGUUCAGAAAGCAGACACUGUUCAAGCCUGGAAAGCUUAUCCAUUGAUCUUAACCUUUUCCUUCACAAAAUAUAUGAAAAGAAAGCAAAUCAUGGAAUCUCAAAUCUGCAGUUCUACCUCUGCUAUUUUAUUAUUCCUUGCCUCCUUCAGAUAAAGUACCUAAGUUUCAGAAGUCAUUACUCUUAAAUUCAAGCCAUAGAAACACACCCAUCUUCCUAAGAGUUUAUCAGCAUUUUGCAAAGUAGCUGGAUACAGCAAGUACUUUAAAAACCACAGUAAAUUAGCCAGUCAACUUCCAAAUAUUACACAUAAUUGCUAUCUGACAGCUUUCAGGGUAGACAACAACCAAAGUCAGGUUUCCUGACUAUAUUUUCCUCUAACUUACUAAGUUAUAAUUCAAGGUCACAAAACAACAGCUUAGGAUAUGCAUGCCAUUAAACAGAAAGCAAACGUCAUCAAAUACAUAACUCUUAAAAGUUGCUUCCUUAGUGCACCAGAAUAUAUGCUACAGAAAUAUAAAGACAUGAGCAAACAAAGACAAAAUAAUACUAUUGAGUAUUUAAAAGUCUUCAACUAAUAUGUUUCCAAUAGCACUGUUUUCUAGGAAAUCAAACAAAAGGUGCUUAAUGAACAGUGAAACUGUGAUAAGUCCUUUCUAAUAAAAUAGGCAGACUGUUGACCGGGGUUUUGGUGGGUGGUCUGUGGGGGAUAGGAACGUGGGGUUGAUAAAGACAGGCCUUAAAGGCAGGACUGCAUGGCUGGCAAGCUUUGCCUGUUGCUGCCUAGGUUGAGCCAUGCUGCAGCCGCCCCCACCACUGCACUCUCUGGAUCAGAACUGGAAGGUACCUUGAUGUCUUUGCUUAUAGGAUCGGACAGAUGAAGGGCUGGUUACCUGCCAGGAAGUGAAGACCAUGGUUAAGAGUCCUCUACGCUAGGUUCUUACAGUCACCAGCUACUAGAUUCUUGGCUACAACAUUUCUCACCAAGAGCAGUGUCCUUGGGAGAAAUCUAAAGAGGGAUGAGAAAGGGGUUAGGAAUAAAACUGUCUCCUAGAGACCGGGUCAGAAUACACAAUGGUUUUAACUUCACAAUAAAGUGACAAGGUAUACUUGAAUAAGCCACCCUGAUAUACGGAAAGCACUGGGCACAGAAGUAACUUUCCCAUUGAAUCGGGAGUUGAUCCCAUAAACUUUAUUAUUAGCCAAGUUUAUAUUUAUGAACAUUUUACACACACUACUCAGCUAUAUAUUAAAGAUAAAAAUUGAGAAAAUACCUAUACUUUGGUAAGCCGUAUCUAAAGCCAUUUCUCUUUUCAACCUAGUUGUUCAUUUCACCAGUGGGCAAAAAUCAUUAUUUUUAAAGGUUUCCAAUGUAAGAGCACAGACCACUCAGCUAUCACAGCGCACUAUAGUUUAGCACACAAAGGUGAGUUCCAGAUGCAGUUCAGGGAUGGUCUGAACCUUUGAACAAGGGCAAAUCCAAGCACUCUAACUCCUGGUUGCCUGCUCUAUCCCUCAUCCAUGCCGCCUUUUUUAAGCAUCCAUAUGGAUUAGUGAAUCACAUUUCCAAAUCUAUGCUUGCUUAGCAUAAUCUCUCAUCCAGAAUUCCCCUUUGAAUUUGAGAUCCCAUAUCUAAG